UAUGAGGUCAAAAUUAUUGGUAGAUCACCAUUAUUAGUUUAGCGUUUCUAAGAUACUCCACAGUGAUCUGAUAAAUGUCCAAGAAGUUAAUGAGAUUAUCAGUGUUGAUUAUAUUAACAUUGAGAACUCCCUUUAUAUGGAGCCAUGAAGAAGCAAGGCAGCCCUCUAGGUGGGCAGCUCUCAAAGAUUUCAAAGUUUUAUAUGGAGUCUAUAGAAAUUAGUGAGAUGCUCCUGUUAACAAACUGUGCACCAAUGUGCCAAGAGGGCCAAUGCAAUAGCAAGAGUAUAACUCUUAAGUUGUACAUGUUUUAGGGA
rnacentral:lncRNA from 1 species